rnacentral:rRNA from 2 species
GGCCCACGCGUUGUUGGAAAAUAUUGCGCAAAAAGGGUCUCCGUGGCCGUAGAGUAUGAUCCUGGCUCAGGACGAACGCUGGCGGCGUGCCUAAUACAUGCAAGUCGAGCGGACAGAAGGGAGCUUGCUCCCGGAUGUUAGCGGCGGACGGGUGAGUAACACGUGGGUAACCUGCCUGUAAGACUGGGAUAACUCCGGGAAACCGGAGCUAAUACCGGAUAGUUCCUUGAACCGCAUGGUUCAAGGAUGAAAGACGGUUUCGGCUGUCACUUACAGAUGGACCCGCGGCGCAUUAGCUAGUUGGUGAGGUAACGGCUCACCAAGGCGACGAUGCGUAGCCGACCUGAGAGGGUGAUCGGCCACACUGGGACUGAGACACGGCCCAGACUCCUACGGGAGGCAGCAGUAGGGAAUCUUCCGCAAUGGACGAAAGUCUGACGGAGCAACGCCGCGUGAGUGAUGAAGGUUUUCGGAUCGUAAAGCUCUGUUGUUAGGGAAGAACAAGUGCAAGAGUAACUGCUUGCACCUUGACGGUACCUAACCAGAAAGCCACGGCUAACUACGUGCCAGCAGCCGCGGUAAUACGUAGGUGGCAAGCGUUGUCCGGAAUUAUUGGGCGUAAAGGGCUCGCAGGCGGUUUCUUAAGUCUGAUGUGAAAGCCCCCGGCUCAACCGGGGAGGGUCAUUGGAAACUGGGAAACUUGAGUGCAGAAGAGGAGAGUGGAAUUCCACGUGUAGCGGUGAAAUGCGUAGAGAUGUGGAGGAACACCAGUGGCGAAGGCGACUCUCUGGUCUGUAACUGACGCUGAGGAGCGAAAGCGUGGGGAGCGAACAGGAUUAGAUACCCUGGUAGUCCACGCCGUAAACGAUGAGUGCUAAGUGUUAGGGGGUUUCCGCCCCUUAGUGCUGCAGCUAACGCAUUAAGCACU